rnacentral:lncRNA from 1 species
UGGUGGAGAGGCAUAGGGAGCCUGGGCAUGCGGCGGUGGCGGUGAUGGGCUGCUCUCGUCAGGUGGCACAGAAGCAGCAUUCCUCUGCAUAGAGGAGCGGCUGGACGACGAGAAUCUGAAGCCGGGUAGCUUCCUCUGCACAUCUUCCAUCAUUUCACGGCACUGAAUGUUUCGGGUCAUUAUGAAGUCGCUGCACUGCUGUUUUAUUUUGCCAAUUGCUUCCUGUGCAGAGGGAGGGGGGGUCAUCCCAAUAUCAGUAGCCCAUUCGAGACGAGACAUCUGCAUUCCUAUGUUCGACGCAAAUAUUUAAAAAAAAAUUGAAAAUGCAAUCGCACCUGUAAAGUCACAUAAAAGUUUAGGCCCUCGUUGAUGUUCUUUUUAAACUCCUGGUAUUUCACAACAGCAGCAGCGAUUUGCUUGUAACAUCUCUCACGGGCAGCUGAAGGAAAAAGGAGAUUAACAAAUCAAAACUACACAUUAGCACCCGAAUAUGAUAACAGAUCCAUGUUAACGAUAAUCACAGGUUACACCUCCGUUCAAAAUUAUAGACCAUUUUUUUUUGUCCUAAGCCAAACUUCUCUAAGUUCAAUUUAAGUUUACAAGAAAAUACAUCGAUAUUUACAACAACAAACUGGGUUUCAUCAAGUUCUUCAUGAAAUAUGUCUUGACGGUGCAUUUAUUUGAACUUGUAAAUGUUAGUAAUUUUUCAAAAAUAAAAUUAGUCAAAGUUAGAGAUGUUUGACUUAGGAGAAAGCUGAAGUGACCUCUAAUUUGGAACAGAGGGAGUAGAGAUUAAGCAGAGCAAUAGCAAUUUGAAGUUACUCAAGAAAAUGGCGGACAUUCAAGAAAAGGUAUGCAUCAACUAGCUUGCUAGGGCUAUCUCCAGCAGUCUUACUCAUUAUAUCUCAUAUUUCAAACUCCACUCUGUAAACAGUGCAAAACAGUGCUUUGCAGGGCCAUAUGCACGAUCUGCUGGCCACAACCUAAGUAAGCUUAUGAACAACUAAGGCAGACAAAUUGCUGAGAUUUGGACAAAAAUGCCCACAAAUCAAUAAUUGCCCAACCAGCCAGCGUGAUGUAGAGAACCACUGCUGUAUUUGCUGGGCUCAAUAACGGAAAGAACGCUACCAGAAUAACAUACUGCUUGAUAGCUACCAUCCAUAAGGCUCGUGAAGUACAAAAGUGGAAAGUGCAAAAGGCUACAUCACAUGGAUAUUUAAAACAGAUAAUUUGCUCAAAAAUUAGCACAUAUACCCUUGAAGAAAAUGACUGUAAAACCUUGUUACCAUGAGGAUAAUUAGAAUACCUAAAGAGCAUGUUGUAACUUUUGGACUCGAUGUAUAAAGCAAGUUACAAAAGCAAAUGUAAAGGCAUCUAUCACAACUGUGACAGAAAAAAAUCCAUAAAGGUUACCUUUGUAAUCCUCUAGGUUGAAUACAGCAGCAAAUUGCUCGUUUUGUGCCUGUGCAAGGAUCCAGUAUCUAAGUGUUAGACACAAGACGAAGGUACAUGGCAAAAUAUAGGGCAUUGGGCUCUUAUAAACACUUCUCCUGCUGUUUCUUCUUUUUCUCAACACUGUCUCAAUUGCAAAACAACGACACUGCUACUCAGUUUUAAUACACUUUGUUGUUGAUAGAACUUUACGCAAAUUUAACACAGAGAGGUAUGCCUGCUUACCUGUAUUUGUAGCAACAAUUGUUCCUGUGCCACAAUGUUAUCAGCAAUAUCAGCACAUAUAGGAUCAUACUUAGCAAUCUCCUUCUUGAAAAGAUCAUCAUGUGAUCCCACGCCAACCAUCAACUUAGGCAAUAUAUCAUCCUGGCCAAAAUGGAUCUUCUCAAUGCACUAAGAUACUAUAGUAUAUGACCACAUCAUCAGUUAUUUAUCACUAAUUUCUAAGUAAUGAAAGACGACAAAUGAAUUUCAGCUAGUUUAAUGGCUAACAAACUUGAAAAGCAAUCCAUCAGGACCACCAUAAAAUAUUGUCAAGUGGGUUUUUUCUUGAACAAUCGUCAAGUGUAAUUUGGAAGGGGCAACGCAAAACAGAACACAGACACUCACAGUCAUAGGAGCCCAUGAUGAAUUAGUACUAAUACAGCACUCCAAGAAGUCAAGAACAUUAAAACUUGGAACUUUAAGCAUGAUCGCUAAGAAGGUAAAACAGACCCAUAGCUACUGUUCAGUGCUAGCACCAGACGAAUGUAUUCUACAUGUAAGACCAAGAAAAAUCUUGUGCAAAAAGACCUAUAGUGAAAGAUACAGGAACAAUAGUUGCACCUUUCUUUUCAUUUCUUUGAGCAUGUCUUCAAGACCUGCCCUUUGUGCGCCAAGAGACUCCAGUUGUCUCUGUUGACAAAUAAAAGCAAGUUUUGCCAAGUUAAAAAAGAAGUUUUACUGCAUGUUCUACUAGCUAUAGAAACUACUGUACAUUACCAAGCUUUGUUUCAGGGCUCCAACAAUGGCAUCUUCAUUUCCAUCCAAGGACAUGAUAGGCCUGGAAAUACUUGGAAGUGCAGACUCUAUCUGCAACAGACAACAGGUACAUGUAACUAUCUAGAUAUGAAGAAUAAAAUGAUGAUCACAGAAGAGAGGUACGGUUCAUUGGGAAGCAAAUAAAGAUAAGUAAUCCACUCAUAUGUUAAAUCCUAAUUAUACUUCUAGUUUCAUGUUAUAUACUAAUGUUGAACUCUCACCGGCCUUUUGUCAAGGAUAGACAUCAAUGAAUAGUUCUCCUUCACGCCUCGUUCAAUCAGAGAAUCACUAUCAGCAGCUCUCUUCAAAUUAGAAGCAAACAGAUUCAAUCUAUCCUGAAUAUUCUUUGUUAGGGUGCUUGAUUGAGGUCUAGUCCAACGACUCCCAAAUUGUGUACGAAAUUGAGCGUCUUCAUUCGCCUCCUUCUGUAGAAGCUCUUCAGUCUGGACAAGUAGUUCCUGAUUGACCCUGCUCAAAUCCCUAAGUUGCUGCAACUCAGAUUCUAAGCCAGCAGGGCCACCGCUUAUCUGCACAGCCUCUACGUCUUCCUUCAGAUCCAUGGGCAAGGUUAUAUUUCCUUCCAAUGAAAGAAUAGAAUCUGGUAAGUCCAUUUCCUUCAGCCUGACUCUAGUGAUCUCACUAGCUUGCUGCAAUUUCUCAGCCUGGGUCCGGAUACUAUUAUCUACCAUCUCUGUGUACUUAGAAAGUGCUUUCAUGCUGCCAUCAGGCACAAGUGAUGAAAAAAGCCUUUCCUUGCUGGCAUCUAAAACUUCAGCCAAAGAGGUAGGUUUUACAAGGGACGCUGCAGGGAGGGCACCCAAGGAACCAGCAGCUGGAACCCGCAUCAAGUAAACACGAUCAUUCUCCUUCAUAGCCCUUUCCAAGUUGGUUUUCAUGUUACUUUCCAGCUUGUUGACGGAAUCCAGAAGUUGGGCAGCAACUCCCUUCGUAGUCUUCUUAGCAUCUGCCAAGGCACUCAUACCAAUCUUUAAACGUGCAAUUUCCUCAGCAAUUUCUUCUUUCUCAUGAAGAUCCAGUGAAUACCUGUAGCAAGCAUCGGCGUAGAAUUGAGCAGCUUUAAGCUGGACAUGGGACACCCAUGUCUUAUCAAAGUGCUGACUUAGAGGAGAUGCACUGAGAGCUGUGUAUGCUUCUUCAUAGAGUAUGCCAACCUAAAAAAUGUGAACAUGCAAUGACCAAGAAUUAGGCCCUGUUUGGAAGCAACUAGUUUUUAAAAAUCCAGUUUCUAUCUCUAGUUUCUAGAAACUGGUUUAUGAAAAAAAAACAGUUAAUGGUGUUUGGAACCACCUCGGUUUUUAUAAACUGGCUUUAGCUAGGGGAGGCUAGCCUUUUGGUUUUAAGAAACUAGGAAUCCAGUUUCUAUAAAUUGGGACAUAAGUUAGUAUGUUUGGAACCGCCUCAGUUUUCAAAAACUAGUUUCUUAAAAACUGGAUGCUUCCAAAUAUGCCCUUAGUUAGAUAGCACAUUGACACCAACGUUUUGCACAAGAAAGAACUGCAUCGUGAAUAAGGAUGUGGUGCAUUAAUUGUAGCUAAAAAUGAACAGUGUGACUCAUAUACAAUUAAGUCGCCAUAUAUAACUAAAUCAAAUCAACAGUAGGAAAUAAUCUCACAACUGGAUACACACAUGAACUUGCUUGCUGAGUCCGUCUCCUAAUACAAUUCAAUCAAACAAGUUAGCCACCCCAUAGGCCUAUAGGAUUAUUCUUGAAGGUUUAUCUUGAUGUUAGAUAAAAUGACUUCCCUAGCUUAGGGUUUGGCAUAUAAUUAGUUGUUAGUUAUAAGUCCUCAACACUACAACAUCGUGAAUUCACUUCUGGCUGGUAAACAUAUUGUCAAUGCUUAAACAACUUAAGAAACAUUCAGAGCUUUCAUUCAUUCUAUAGCAAUCUAAACUAAGCUCGCAUGACGCAAAACCUGAACAGGAAGUAAUGGCGCACCUGCCGCGCCACCUUGGAGCACAGCGCGGGUGGCUUCCCUCCACCUAUAACCUUCUCGAAGAAGCAUUCUUGCGCCUGCGCG